UCACAUUCAUUAUUAGGCGAAUCAGUAGGCACAUCACAUUCUUGGAUAAAAAUUCUCAGCCUGUAAAGGACGCCAACAGUCGAAAGGAUUCCUACUAUAAAUUAAACACGCGAUUUCUGUUGUAAAACUAUAUUUAAAUACCUAACCCACAGCUAAACAAUUCCGUUUAACUCAAAUCUGUGCUGAGACGGAGACAAUGCCGGCGGAGACGAAGGAAAUCGAUUACGUGAUGGAGGCCGCGUCGGGUCCACACUUCUCCGGCCUCCGCCUCGACAGCCUUAUGUCCGCCGCACCGAGCUCAUCUACUUCUCGUUCUUCCUCCACUCCUACUACUCCCUCUUUUUCCACUCCCCUUGUCGAUUCUUCUGUCAUCAAGCAGCCCUUCGUUAUAGGCGUUUCGGGUGGUACGGCAUCCGGGAAGACAACGGUCUGUGACAUGAUUAUUCAACAGCUUCACGAUCAUCGUGUCGUUCUUGUUAACCAGGAUUCUUUCUAUCGUGGCUUGACUCCUGAAGAGUUGGAACGAGUUCAUGAAUAUAACUUUGAUCAUCCAGAUGCUUUUGACACAGAGCAGUUACUUGAUUGUGUUAAUGAGCUCAAGAGUGGGCAUUCUGUACAUGUCCCAAUGUAUGAUUUUAAAACACAUCAACGGUCUAAAGAUAGCUUCCGACAGGUGAAUGCCUCUGAUGUAAUCAUUUUGGAGGGGAUCCUUGUCUUCCACGAUCAACGUGUGCGGAAUUUGAUGAACAUGAAGAUUUUUGUUGACACAGAUGCUGAUGUGAGGCUUGCUCGUAGAAUACGGCGUGAUACAGUCGAGAGAGGAAGGGACAUAAGUUCAGUUCUUGAACAGUAUGCAAAGUUUGUCAAGCCUGCUUUUGAGGAUUUUGUUCUGCCAUCAAAGAAACAUGCUGAUGUUAUUAUACCCCGGGGAGGCGACAAUCAUGUUGCAAUUGAUUUGAUUGUCCAACAUAUUCGCACAAAGCUUGGCCAGCAUGACCUUUGUAAAAUAUAUCCCAAUGUGUAUGUUAUUCAGUCGACAUUCCAGAUAAGAGGCAUGCAUACCCUGAUUCGUGAUCAAGAUAUAUCGAAGCAUGACUUUGUGUUUUAUUCAGAUAGGCUUAUUCGUUUGGAUCAUUUUAUACUGGUGUUGACUUCUGCAAGAAAUUGUGUGGAGUUUCCAUUGUUCGAAGGUUUCACUUUUGAACUCCCUUUAAGCCACCCUUGGAUUUGUACCAUGAGCUGGGUUUGGGAUAUUUUACUUUGUAGGCCGUGUUUUCUUCUUGGUUACCUUUUUUUCCCUUUGUUUGUGAGACGUGGUGAAAGUAUGGAAAAUGCUCUGCGUGCUUGUUGCAAAGGAAUUAAAAUUGGGAAAAUUCUGAUCCACCGUGAUGGCGACAACGGGAAACAGCUUAUAUAUGAAAAACUUCCAAAAGAUAUUUCGGAACGCCAUGUCCUCCUCCUAGAUCCAGUCCUUGCUACAGGUAGCCAAAUUUUAUCAUUCAUACAUAGUUGCUUGGAAAGUUAAAAUUCUAGUGUGAGGGUAACUCUGCUAAUCAGGCAAUUGAGUUACUCAUACAGAAAGGUGUUCCAGAGUCUCAUAUUAUUUUCCUAAACCUCAUCUCCGCACCGGAGGGAAUUCAUUGCGUUUGUAAACGUUUCCCCUCAUUAAAAAUUGUGACAUCAGAGAUUGAUGUGGCACUGAAUGAAGAAUUUCGCGUGAUACCAGGUUUGGGAGAAUUUGGUGAUCGUUACUUUGGCACUGAUGAUUGAUCCAUACAGGUUCAAUAUUGCGCGUUACCUGUUGGUCUGCUCAUUAACUGUAAAUUAAGGCCGCCAGUCUGUUUAUAUUCACACAUUACGACGUGCCCUUGUUUUCUGGAUGAUUAUGGGAUCGCAUAUUUUUAUGGUUAUUUACUAUUUAGCAUCCCUUAAAUCUGAAGGUAACAAAAUCACGUUACCCAAGUCUGCGACGACUGGGACUUCGAAGCAAUGAUGUUACAAAAGCAUUUUUUAUAGUUCCAAUUUCUACCUUAUCAUUUUCCUAUA